AUUGAACGCUGGCGGCAGGCUUAACACAUGCAAGUCGAGCGGAGAGAGGUCGCUUGCUACUGAUCUUAGCGGCGGACGGGUGAGUAAUGUCUGGGAAACUGCCUGAUGGAGGGGGAUAACUACUGGAAACGGUAGCUAAUACCGCAUAACGUCGCAAGACCAAAGAGGGGGACCUUCGGGCCUCUUGCCAUCAGAUGUGCCCAGAUGGGAUUAGCUAGUAGGUGGGGUAACGGCUCACCUAGGCGACGAUCCCUAGCUGGUCUGAGAGGAUGACCAGCCACACUGGAACUGAGACACGGUCCAGACUCCUACGGGAGGCAGCAGUGGGGAAUAUUGCACAAUGGGCGCAAGCCUGAUGCAGCCAUGCCGCGUGUAUGAAGAAGGCCUUCGGGUUGUAAAGUACUUUCAGCGGGGAGGAAGGUGUUGUGGUUAAUAACCGCAGCAAUUGACGUUACCCGCAGAAGAAGCACCGGCUAACUCCGUGCCAGCCGCCGCUGUAA
rnacentral:rRNA from 1 species